rnacentral:lncRNA from 1 species
CGAAACUGAGAGCCUCCUGUGAAUGCGCACACAGGACUGUGCUACUCGUCGGAUGCUGGUAUCAAGGUCUCUGGUCAUGAUCCAUUGUGGAACUACACUAAUGUGUUAUCUUCCAUAAACUACUUCCUUGAAACAAUUUCUAUGUUGUUUGUCAAGUGAUCAAGCAACAUCCAUCAUCUCUGUUGGAUCAAAAGGGCAUACCCCUUUAAUGUGUGGUCUCUUGUCCCUUUACUUUGGUAGUGACUACACACAUACAAGUUCCCUUUAUGUCCUUUGUGUAAAGGUGAAGCCUUGGAGCUUUUUAGUGUCGAGAGACAACUGAUUAGCUCUCAAAAUGGUGAUCUGUUUCCCCUGCUGCUGAGAUGCAGGAGUUUAUUCAUUCGCUCUCUUAUUUAAUCCAUGUAUUCCCGAACCAAGUCAAUUCAUCUCGCAUGGAAGAAAUGGAUGAACAACCUGACCAAAUGGAUUUCUAUCCAAAUACAUGAUCUUUUGCUAGCAGAUGUGAACUCUCAACCCUUGGCUUACCGAUGGUACUGAGAGGACAUGCCCAAUGUCAAAAGUAGUUCAACAAGUUGGUUUUACUAACUUGUAACUGCACUGUAACAAAGGUUGAGUUUAGAGAUCGUUUUAUCGAUUUGCCUGAACUCACUUUGGUUCAACCCACCCUAAAGAAAGUACUUACAAGAAUCAAGUUAAGUCGACUAAUAACCACCUAAUUAUCGCUCUAGCCAUGCCUCAAUCGUCUCACGUGUGCUUUUCCAGCAUGUGUGAUUAAGUCGAUCCAUGAUUAGUGCUGGAUAAAAUGGAGUGGUUGUAAAGUUCGUAUCUACUGAUCCAUCCGCUGGUGAUUUUCUCGAAUCUAUAUCACCUUUCAGGGACUUGGAUUUUUUGGUUAGCCACGAGUCAACUGUGAUGUUAUUCGACAUUCACACCCGUCUCUUGUGCUAAGAACUUACCAUGACCGCUUGUUGGUAAACCCCUUUCUGUGUGUUUUACCCAAGAGGUUGCAUCUGGUUCUGUUUGGGUAAGGUCAUAUAUCUACCGCUCACCCAACAGAAUCAGAUAGUAUGGUGUCAUCAGGAAAAAGCAAACUGCACACAUGGGACCUUAUGUGUUCUUCUGGCAGACAUCGUCUCUAUUGGUGGACAUCUCUAAAUUGGCUUAAGUCGAUACAUGUUAUGCCCACUAGAGAAACCACAUCCUGAGACACUUGCCUUCGCUCAGAACUGCCUUAUGAUUAUCGCUGAUAUGGACGUGGGUUACAUGCUUCUCUACUCUUGAAAGUCUUUCGCUCCGAAUCUCGGGACGAGAUUCUUUUAAGGGGGGAGGGCUGUAACACCCCAGGUGUUUAUAUUCCGCUCGACAACGAGUUCGGAUUUAAGCACGUAAUAUAAGUGGAUGAAAC